AGCAGCUCCCUCGCUGCGAUCUAUUGAAAUUCAGCCCUUGACACAAGGAUUUG
rnacentral:rRNA from 1 species